rnacentral:rRNA from 1 species
AUGACCCCAAGUCAGGCGGGAUUACCUUCUGAUUUUAAGUAUAUCAAUAAGCGGAGGAGAAUAAACUUAUAAUGAUUUCCCUAAUAAUGACGAGCGAACUAGGAACAACCCAACCUUAGAAUCAGGCGGCUCCAUCGUUCGAAUUGUAGUCUUGAGAAGUGUCCUCUGAGCUGGACCGGGCCCAAGUCACCUGGAAAGGGGUACCAGAGAUGGUGAGAUCCCCAUGGAGCCUAGACCCUGUCACACCAUGAGGCACUGACUACGAGUCGGGUUGUUUGGGAAUUCAGGCUAAAUCGGGGGUGAAUUUCGUCUAAGGCUCAAUAAGAGCGAGACCCCGAUAACGAACAAGUUCCGCAAGGUAAAGAUGAAAAGGACUUAGAAUAAAAAAGUCAAAGAGUACUUGAAAUUAUUGUGAGGGAAGCGUAUGGAGGCUGGCGAUGUACCCCGGUUGGAUGUUGAACAAGGAUGAGCCACACAUCAAUCGAAUCGAGGCGUGGACCAGUGUGGAUUGCGGAAGCGGCCAAAGAGCUAUCUCUCAAUAUGCUGGUGGAAUGUCGUCUCCUUAAUUGUGGAAGACAGCAUGUUUCUCUGGAGUGCUAUAGCAUUUGUUCACUCUGGACGCUGGCCUGUUGGCUCCCAAUUCAACUCAUCUUGAAACACAGACCAAGGAGUCUGACAUGUGUGCGACUUAAUUGGCAAGUAAACCCAUAAGGCUCAAGGAAGCUGAUAGGUGGGAUUCCCUUGACGGGUGCACCAUUGACUAACUUUAAUAUUCUGAGAAGGGUUCGAGUGUGAGCAUACCUGUCGGGACCCAAAAGAUGUGAACUAUGCCUGAGCGGGGCGAAUCCCGAGAAAACUUUGGUGGAGGCCCGCAGCGAUACUCACAUGUAAACCAUUCGUCUAACUUAGAUAUAGGAAGCAAAGAUUAAUAAAACCUUCUAGUAGUUGGUUCCCUCCGAAGUUAACCUUAGGAUAGAUGGAGCUCGCAUGCGAGUUCUAUCGGGUAAAGCCAAUGAUUAGAGGCCUCGGGGGAGGAACACCCUCGAUGAAUUCUCAAACUUUAAAUAGGUAGGACUGCACGACUUCUUUGUUAAGACGCACCAUUGAAUCAAGACCUCCAUGUAAGAAUUUUUGGUAAGCAGAACUGGCGAUGCGGGAUGAACCAAAAGCCAAGUUAAGUUGCAAAACUAUGUGCUAACUUAGAUCCUACAAAGGGUGUUGGUCGAUUAAGACAACAGUACGGUGGUCAUGGAAUUCAAAAUCUGCUAAGAAUUAUGUAACAACUCGCCUGCUGAAUCAACUAGCCUUGAAAAUGGAUGGCGCUUAAGUUCCUUACCUACACCCAGCCAUCAGGGCAAGUGACAUGCCCCGAUAAAUAGGAGGGCAAGGCGGUCGCUGCAAAAACCUUGGGCGCUAGCCCGGCAGAGCGAUCGUCAGUGCAGAUCUUGGUGGUAGUAGCAAAUAUUCAAAUGAGAACUUUGAAGGCUGAAGAGGGAAAAGUUUCCAUGUGAACAGCGCUCUCACGUGGAUUUGUCGAUCCUAAGGGUCGGGGGAACCCCGACAGAUAGCGUGUUUCGCAUGUACUAUGAAAGAAAAUUGGGUUAAAAUUCCUGAACCAAGAUGUGGUGGUCGAUGACAACAUUAGUAAGGCUGGAGACGUCUAUGGGAGCCUCGGUAAAAGUUAUCUUUUCUAUUUAAAAGCCUGCCCACCCUGGAAUCGACUCAGUUGGAGGUAGGGUCCAAUGGAUGGAAGAGCACCGCAUGUCACGUGGUGUCUGAUAUUCUCCCGGAGGCCCUUGAAAAUCAAGAAGACCAAAUAUUAUCUACACCCGAUCGUACUCAUAACCGCAUCAGGUCUCCAAGGUGAAUAGCCACUGGUCGAUGAAACAAUGUAGGCAAGGGAAGUCAGCAAAAUGGAUCUGUAACUUUGGGAAAAGGAUUUGCUAUGAGGGCUGGGAAUUGGGGUCCCAGUCCCAAACCUGUCAGCUAUUGGUGGACAGCUCUAGCUGCUUCCGCGGUGAGAGUAGGUCGCCCCAUGCUGGCUAGGGGAUGAAUUGGGAACGGUUCCUUCGGUGGCUUUCCCCGUGCGUUGAACAACCAACUCAGAACUAGUACGGACAAGGAGAAUCUGACUGCUUAAUUAAAACAAAGCUUGCAUUGGUCCCAACGGAUGUUCACGCAAUAUGAUUUUUGCCCAAUGCUCUUAAUGUUAAAGUGAAGAAAUUCAACCAAGCGCGGGUAAAUGGUGGGAGUAACUAUGACUCUCUUAAGGUAGACAAAUGCUUCCUAAUAUAAUUAGUGACACGCAUGAAUAGAUUAAGGAGAUUCCCACCUUCCUGUCUACUAUCCAGCAAAAUCACAGCCAAAGGAAUGGGCUUGGUAGAAUUAGCGCAAAAGAAGACCCUGUUGAGCUUGACUCUAGUCUGACUUUGUGAAAUGACUUGAGAGGUGUAGUAUAAGUUGGAGCCAAAAGGUGAAAGUGAAAUACCACUACCUUUACUGUUAUUUUACUUAUUCUGAGAAUCAGAAACGGGGAACUGCCCCUCUUUUUAGACAUAAGGCUCACUCUGCGGGUUGUGCCAGACGGAAGAAAUUAUCAGGUGGGGAGUUUGGCUGGGGCGUCACAUUUAUUAAAAGAAAACCCAGGUGUCCAAAGAUGAGCUCUACAAGAACAUAAAUCUCAUGUUGAACCGAAGGGUAAAAGCUCAUUUGAUUCUGAUUUCCAGUAGGAAUACAAACCAUGAAAUCAUGGCCUAACUAUCCUUUAGACCAUCGAAAUUCAUAGCUAGAGAUGUUAGAAAAGUUACCACAGGGAUAACUGGCUUGUAGCAGCCAAGUGUUAAUAGUGACAUUGCUUUUUUAUCCUUCAAUGUCGGCUCUUCCUAUCAUUAUGAAGGAGAAUUCACCAAGUGUUGGAUUGUUCACCCGCCAAUAGGGAACAUGAGUUGGGUUUAGGCUGUCGUGAGAGAGGUUCGUUUUACCCUUCUAAUGACAGUGUUGCAAUAGUAAUUCAACCAAGUACGAGAGGAACUAUUGAUUCACAUAAUUUGUCAUCGCGCUUGGUUGAAAAUCUAGUGGUGCGAAGCUACCGUGUGCUGGAUUAUGAAUGGAUGCUUCUAAGUCAGAAUCUGGGCUAGAAGCGAUGCAUGCACACACCGUCCGUAUUCCGACCCGUCGUAGGGUCCUCGACCCCCAAGGGCACAUGUCGUUGUCUAACCUAUCAUAGUGGAAGGUUCGUGGUGGCCGUCUUAAAGUACAAUUUGCAUCGAGCGAUAGCUAGAAUC